UCCGUAGGUGGAUAAUUAAGUCAGAGGUGAAAUCCUGCGGCUCAACCGUAGAGCUGCCAUUGAUACUGAUAUUCUUGAAUGUAGUUGAGGUAGGCGGAAUGUGUAAUGUAGCGGUGAAAUGCUUAGAUAUUACACAGAACACCGAUUGCGAAGGCAGCUUACUAAACUAUGAUUGACGCUGAGGCACGAAAGCGUGGGGAGCGAACAGGAUUAGAUACCCUGGUAGUC
rnacentral:rRNA from 1 species